rnacentral:lncRNA from 1 species
AUUUUUAAACCCAUUGGAUAGACAAGAAAUUGAGAUACCUCAGCCAUGUGGUUGAUUGCCAUACUAUUUGUGUCUUUUGAAACCCAUGAAAUGGCUCCAGCUGCAUAUGUAGCAGAGGAUGGCCUUGCUGGGCAUCAAUGGGAGGAGAAGCCCUUGGUCCUGCCAAGGCUGGACCCCUCCAGUGUAGGGGGAUGUCAGGGGGAAGUGGGAAGGGGAUGUUUGGGGAGGGGAAACACCCUUAUAGAAGAAGGGGAGGGGGAUGGGAUAGGGGGCUUAUGGCCAGGAAACCGGGAAAGGGAAUAACAUUUGAAAUAUAAAUAAAAAUAUCCAAUAAUAAAAAAAUAAAUAAAAUAAAAAGUAGAGAUCUGAAAAGUGGAAAAGAGGGAAUAAAAUUAUCAUGAUUUAAAAAAAAGGUGGUUUACAAAAAAAAA